GCCCGCCCAACCGCCUCCCGUCAGCUCCAUUAAGUAGGAGCCAGAAGCAGCGCUUCACUCUUUCGGGGACUGAGACGCUGGAAGGCUGAGGUUCUGGCCGGGCCGAGGGCGUCGGAUCUCCCUGUCCUCCCCUUUGACCUCUCCCCACAGCCCCUCAAUAAAACAAUUUGAUGCCA